UACNACUUUCAGCAAUGGAUCUCUUGGCUCUCGCAUCGAUGAAGAACGCAGCGAAAAGCGAUAUGUAAUGUGAAUUGCAGAUCUACAGUGAAUCAUCGAAUCUUUGAACGCACCUUGC
rnacentral:rRNA from 1 species